GAUGAAGGAACGUAGCGAAAUGCGAUACUUGGUGUGAAUUGCAGAAUCCCGUGAACCAUCGAGUCUUUGAACGCAAGUUGCGCCCGAAGCCAUUAGGCCGAGGGCACGCCUGCCUGGGUGUCACACACCGUUACCCUCGCGCCAACGUCCAUCGUUGGCCGCGGCGCGGGGCGUGCGCUGACCUCCCGCGAGCGGGGUCUCGUGGUUGGUUGAAAAUCGAGUUCGCGGUCGAGGGUGCCGUGAUGAAAUGGUGGAUGGGCGACGCCCGAGGCCAAUCACGCGCGACUCUGUCCGGCUUGGACUCCUGGACCCCUUCGGCGUCUCCGGACGCUCUUUGGCGAGACCUCAGGUCAGGCGGGGCUACCCGCUGAGUUUAAGCAUAUCAAUAAGCGGAGGA
rnacentral:misc_RNA from 1 species